UCUAAUUUCUUGUAAAAUAAUAUUUAUAAAGUCAUCGGUAAAUAAUUUUUGUAAUGUAAAAGCUAAAUAAAUUCAUACGUAGUAUAAUACAGAUAACCAAGAUAUGAAAUUUACUUUACAGUGACUCGUGGGCCCACAAGGAACAAAAGUGCACAAAGGUAGUAAACUUAUAGUUUUUGGAGUAGUAAAGCCGACUAUAAUCCUUGACGAUAUCUGUUAUCCACAAGCUACCUCGCGCCUGAAAUGGUUGAACAGGAGGGUGGUGAGAUUAUAAAAUCUCAGUGAGUAAACAGACACCAUCUAAACCAUCUAAAGUCGAGUAAAUUGAGACAGAUAAAACAGUUUAACAUACUGAAAUUCAUUACCUUUCAACUUGUUUCAACCAAAUAAAAUCAAUUCAUAUAAAUUGAGUCAUUAACAUGGCUUAUGAAUUUCUUAAAACUUUGGCUCGUGCCAAAAUCAUUAUCAUACUCAGUCAUCAAGGAUACCUUGGCCGAGGGCUAUCCCAAACUGAGUCCGUCAAGGCUGUUAAAAAGUUAUAUAUGCAUAAAUCAUGUUUUUAUUUUGAAAACAUAGUCGUUCCUUGACGUUGGUCGAGUUCACCCUAACGUGGUGGUUUAGCGUAAAGUGAACUCUAAAGUGUUUACCUCAGGAGUUAUCCAUCCGCGGCUCUCAUACUGAGGUAAGAAUAUAACGGGGUUAUCGUGCCCCUCUAAUAGGCUGGUCCACGAAACCCGCCCACUACAUAAGCUAAUCAAUAUCCCACCAUAUAAUAAAAAUUCAACAGCGUGACAUGGCAAUUUUAUCAUUAUCCAGCCUAUCAAGGCAAACAACAGUUUAUACAUUUCAACACAAAUACUAAUUCCGCCAUUCAUGCCAAUAUUGUCAUAAGCCAAUCAAUUAGAACCAUAAAUUCACAAUACAUCAAUAUGGCCUCCAAUUACUCUAUUUGAAAAGCCAUCAUUCAAUUUCAAUAUAAUUUUAUAAAAUCAUUUUAUUUAAUCACAUUUUUGCUUAUAAAACAUAAAGAUUUGCCAUUUAAACUCAUUUUUCAUAAAAUCACAAAAUUGGAUAAAAACUACUUUAGAUAAUUAAGACGAUAGUAAGAUUAC
rnacentral:lncRNA from 1 species